UACGAAGGGUGCAAGCGUUAUCCGGAUUCAUUGGGUUUAAAGGGUGCGUAGGCGGAGCGCUAAGUCAGUGGUGAAAUCCUGCAGCUUAACUGUAGACUUGCCAUUGAUACUGGCGUUCUUGAGUGCGCUUGAAGUAGGCGGAAUGUGCCGUGUAGCGGUGAAAUGCUUAGAUAUGGCACAGAACACCAAUUGCGAAGGCAGCUUACUAAGGCGAUACUGACGCUGAGGCACGAAAGCGUGGGGAGCGAACAGG
rnacentral:rRNA from 1 species